rnacentral:rRNA from 1 species
GGGUUUAAAGUGUGCGUAGGCGGGUAUUUAAGUCAGUGGUGAAAUCCUAGAGCUUAACUCUAGAACUGCCAUUGAUACUAUUUAUCUUGAAUAUUGUGGAGGUAAGCGGAAUAUGUCAUGUAGCGGUGAAAUGCUUAGAUAUGACAUAGAACACCUAUUGCGAAGGCAGCUUACUACGCAUAUAUUGACGCUGAGGCACGAAAGCGUGGGGAUCAAACAGGAUUAGAUACCCUGGUAGUCCACGCCCUAAACGAUGGAUACUCGACAUACGCGAUACACUGUGUGUGUCUGAGCGAAAGCAUUAAGUAUCCCACCUGGGAAGUACGACCGCAAGGUUGAAACU